AUUUUCCAGAUCUCCUUCCCAGCCUGAGGGGGAACCUCCUCCGCCCGCCACACCCCUACCCGCAGGCUGCUGCGACCCUCGGCGGCCGUACGGGAGUCGCGGCUGUUGGACGGAGGCGGCGCCGCAACCAGCGCGUCGCUGGCCGCGAGCAGGUCGGCCGGUUCCAGAGACUGACUCUCCCCGUGCUCAUCAAAGAACUGAAAACAGUCCCGGCCAAUGGAAGGCGGCAAGGGAGCGACCAGCCGCCACUCGGAUGCCCAGACCGUCCGUCCACUAGGGCCUUAAGAGGACUCUGGGCUGGGAAAGUUGGCCCAAUAACAUCACAACUCAGAAAAACUUUAAGCCGCCGAACCUCCAACUGGUAAUUUGCGCAUGCUGGGGACACAUCUAUCUGAUCUCUUAGAACUAAGUUACUGCAUCGUCCUUCUGAAGAGAUUGAACUUGACACUUUAUGAAUCAGUUUUUUCUUCUUGUAUGCAAUGGAAGAGUUUUUAAGGAGAGGGAGAGAAGUGAAACUGUUCUUUGGGGAUGGAAGGGAGGCAAAAAUUGAACCUACUUUAAAAAGACUCAAAAGCUUGUGUUUACUAAUGAAUUAAUAAUCCGUUAAUAUACCGUAAGAAAUAUAUUGGAACUGUAUUUUCAAACACUUAAUACCUACUAUGCAAAACACUAUGCCAACAGCUUUGAGGUAUCACAAAUACAAGACGAUGCUUGAGGAAUCUAGUCCCAGUAAAAAGUAGGUAACUCAAGUUCAGCUUCACUGUUCGAGAGGUUCCUGUUGGCCCGGGGAAACUGCAGAUUUAACAGACUGCCUUCAUUAAAGGAGCGUAUUCCUUAUCAUGGAAUAUAUCAUUUAAACAGAACCUUUAAAGUUUCUGCAAUAUCUGACUCGAACGUUUCCAGUUUGCUCCCACGCUUCUGACUUGAAUUCACUAAGAACAAAAACUGCCCUUUUCCUAAAGCCCUAAAAGCUGGAGCUGGAUGACCUGAUAGAAACUGCAGAGAAAUCACAUCAGCUCGUGUAUGGACAAACUUUGUGUCUUUGCUGUGUGGGCCACUCAGAAAGUUCACUGCAACACCUUAUGACAUCACCAGAGAUACUCAAACUGCAAACCAAGCAAAUCUAUCAGACUGCCAUUGCCUCUCCUCACUCUGACUAAAGACGCUUCCAGCCCAACAACUAGAAAUCUUGAUUAACUUCCCUCUGGUCUGUUUUCACAACCUUCUGUUUUUCUCUUGUUUCCAUAGAAAUACCUGUUAUUAAAUAUAUGAUUGCUUGCACAAUAUAGACUAACUUUAGGAGCCCAUCUGCAAUACCAGCUCCCGAACUGAGACACAAAUCUUGGACUUAACUGACCCAUUCUCAGGAGUAAGAGACGGAUUCAGCGAGAUAUGGAACAAUCUACCAACUCAAGCUCUGGACUGUGAGACUUACUGGGAAAUUUCAAAGGCAGGAAUGAAGAGUAACAGAAUAUGCCACCCUAAAAUACGCCUCUUGGCAUAAGGAUUGACUCAAGUUGAUUAAAAACACAGGGGAAGCUAAGGAAAUUUACAUUUAAAAGGAAGUCUCUAUUUGUAAGGCUGUCUCCCUCUCUAUACCAGCCAGAGAAAGAUGCUUAAAUCACAAGAAUCUUGUCAAUGGAGAAGACACUGAUACAAAUCUGCAAAACAGACCUUACUGCUUGUUUACUGUGCUUUUCCUGGUAAGUCCUAUCCCUAGCCUCCCCGCCCCCACCCCAACAUCUUUCUUUUGUCUUUACAGAAGAUGGUAUUUAAGGUGGUGGCCUGGGCCUUGUUAGGGAGUUACUUGUUCUUCUUGGGUAUCUCAUGUAUGCAUGAAAUAUAUAUGCCAAUAAACUUUUUUUUUCUUUUGUUAA